CUUCAUCGUCAUGUGCGUCAUACUCAUCAUGAACACAGACAGCGCACAAUGACGGACAAGCCUAUCAAGGUCAUAGUCACCGUCAUGGCGUAUAAUGGGUUUCUUGCAUCAACAACAGCGUCAGCGUCAACUGUGGCUCUUCUUCGAUCAAAGGCUCCGGCUCCAGCUCCAGCUCCGGCUCCGGCUGUGGUUCUUCUUCGCUUUGUAGCGUGUGAUAGUACGCCAGCACACACUUGAGGAAGUACACCUGUCAAAUAAAAAGAGACAGACAUGGUCACGCACUUACCGGAACUUAAGUAUGUAACGCAUGAGAGGUAUACACCAGCUUGAACAGCAGUGCGUCUUUGGCGUUAGAUACGAUGGUUCGAAAUAAAAAAAAAUUUUCUUUCAAAGCGCACAA